rnacentral:rRNA from 1 species
UACGUAGGUGGCAAGCGUUAUCCGGAAUUAUUGGGCGUAAAGCGCGCGUAGGCGGUUUCCUAAGUCUGAUGUGAAAGCCCCCGGCUCAACCGGGGAGGGUCAUUGGAAACUGGGGAACUUGAGUGCAGAAGAGGAGAGUGGAAUUCCAUGUGUAGCGGUGAAAUGCGCAGAGAUAUGGAGGAACACCAGUGGCGAAGGCGGCUCUCUGGUCUGUAACUGACGCUGAUGUGCGAAAGCGUGGGGAUCAAAC